rnacentral:lncRNA from 1 species
GCUUUGAAUCUCUGUGUUUUAAGUUGGAUUUCUAAUUUGUAAAUACACAAGACCAUGAUAUGUUAAACAGUAAUCACAGAUUUGAGUUUUAUGCUCUGCAAGUCUCAGUGUUUCCUGCCAAAGCCCGGGACUGCUGCCGGCUCCAGGGGUUGGUUGGGGACGGAUCGUCAGUUCAAACCUUGGAAUAAGGCCGCCUUGCCAAGCAGCGUUAAGAAAGGAAGCUCAGUCGUAAUGCAUUUACAUAUGCACAUAUGCAUGUACACACAGUGACAGAUUUUGUACACCCACUUAUUCCAACUGAUGUGAGUGAUGUCGGUAUUUCAUCAUCCCCGCUACACUGAGUGAAUGUAAGCAUGUACUACACACACACACACACACACACACACACACACACACACACACACACACACCGUCCCAGCUGGCUCUGAUCAGCUUGUUCAGCAUCCAAUGCUAAUGAGACAGCUUGGCUGACUCGGCGUACAUCGAAUAUACCCUCGCCUUCAUAUUUGAAUAAUUUACAGACACAAACAUAUCUUCAUAUUAAUUGGCUUAAAUAUGAAAUAGACUUAAGUGUUAUUAUAAAAGUUUAAAAAGAUAAAAGAAAGCUUCCUGUUUUAUUUUCUUCAUGUCUCCUGCUGUGCAUCGAGGAUUUAGCUAAAUUCUCCAUGAAGCUCCCCAGUCCACAAUUUGGAUCUUUAUCCGUGAGGCUUCGAAAUUCAGAAUCCUAGCAUAACUGAUUUUUAUAUGUGUGUGUGUGUGUGUGUGUCUAAACUGUUUCCAAAUCUGCAGCGAUGCCAGCUCCUUUCCACACUCCGCUAAACUUUUUUUUUUUUUCUAAGUUCUCUACCAACUGUGUGCCAGAAUUAAUCAACACUUUCUUUCAACAGAAACUUCUCGGUGACGGUUCAAAAAAAAAGUUUGGAUUUGGAAAAGAACUCGAGAGAAAUGUUGUUGGCGAGAAGUCAUUUGGUUUGAUGGUAUGCUUUAGAGUUAAAUCAGCUAUGAAAUGAGCAAAUUUAAAGGAGGAUGAUUUAAGUUUGAAAUGAUUCAUUCUGGUAUAUUUGAAAGAACUCAUAACCUCUUUUUUUAGGUUGUCUUUUGGAGAAGGUUCCUCUGAAUUAGGAGCAAUACAUGUAUGCAUGUUCUUUUACGCAUGCACAGGCUUCUCCACCUAAAUCAUCCAAUUCCACAGCAACUGUUUUAACCUUUGAGACUGAGAUCUAUUCAUCGUCGAUGAGAAUUAGCACCUCUUCUCAUGAGUCCUCUUUCUCACUAUAUUUCCCCAUCCUUUCCUGACUGUUACACUAGCAGAGCUGGUUUAGCCUUUGGCCCCUCGGCAGACUGCUGGGCUAUUUCUGGAGCUUGGAGAGGGGAGCGUUUGAGGAAAGGAGGCUCUUGCCCACUUCAGCUUGUCUUCCGAGCAUCGCCUCAGGGUAGACAAAUGCUAAGCUGAGAGUGUAAACUGAAUAGAUAAUCGAGUUGACCACAGAGUGCGUUCACUUACUUUAAGAAAAAAACAAACAAACGUAUGAUCAAUUUUCUCUCAUUCUUUAAAUGCCCGAUCAGGAUAAAAAUGCGUCAUGUAAACAUGUUGAUUGGAAGAUUCUGAUCCAAUUCGGCUCAAUCGGAAAGAAAUUGUAUUCCGAUUGAGAGGGGUGGUUUAUGCCGAUCGUUAUUCCCAAACACAUCCAUGUAAACACUAAUUCCGAUCGUGACUCUCUUCCUCAAUCUUCAGUCUUUAGUCUUUGGCUUAUUUAUUGAGACCAAUGCAAGAGGUCUCAUUAUUACGCUCUGGCUUAAAACAUAACUGCAGGUGCCGCGCCUCCUACUCCGCUAACAUAACAAGGCGUACAUAUAGCAAAAUAAUGUCACAUCUACACACACAGCGCAACCGGGGGGAAAACUCCUGAAUCGGAUGGAGUGAUACUACUGCAUGAAUACAACUCUUCUUCUGUGGUUGUUUUAGCAGAUUAGAUAACUAUAUGUCCAAAUGCUUCUAAUCUGAAUAAAGCUUGUCAUGAUUGGAUUAUUUGAUUUUGCACCCAUACAAACAGUGGAUUCAGAUUAUCCGAUCCCUCAAUUUUUUAAUCUGAUCAAGAAUUUGCACAUGUAGACAUGGCUUUUGAGAGGCUGAAACAAAACGGAUCUGUUCAGAUGAGAACCUGUCCUCAAAGGGGAAUCCAAACAGGGAGCUGUUAGGUAUUAAAUCAAUGCACUUUAAGCUCCCUUUUCAUCGUGACCUCCCUUUAUUUGAGGCUGUGCUGGAAUGAAACAUCCCCUUGCCCCUCUCUGUCUUUGUACCAGAGCGGUUUCAGAUGCCAACAGUCAUAAACAAGAUGGCCAACAAUAAAGCAAGAGGCUGUUAAACUAAAACCAGAGCCAAUUCAUUUCAAAGCUGCUCCAAGGUCUCAAAGGACAGACGUGGACCCAGAUCAACCUCUGAUACUGCUACCGUGAGGCGCAUUCUUUUGAGAGAAAAAUAUGUUCUGAUCCUAAACAACGGCGCCAUCUGUACUUUAUUUCACCUUUAUUUGUUAUUCCCUGCCCUUGGUUUUUCUCCCUGAAUCAUUUGAAGUCUUGUUGACUCGCUCCGUGUUUGUGAUGGCUCCUCAGAGCGAUGCCGGAGUCUGUGAGCGGUAACACGGUGUUUGGUUUUACCUUGAGAGUUUAUGACGCAGGGCCUUAGAAACAGAUGUUUGCAAUUCCCUGACCAAUUUUCCCAUUAAAUAAAGCUUUUGAUUUAUUUUGGAUUGUUUUCUUUUUAAUGAUGAUUUAGAUUGGUAAAAUGUCAGUAAAUGAACUUGUAAAUGGCAGAAGAGCAAUUAUUGUGAGGGCCAUCUGUGAUGCGCUGGAAUGAGACUGCAGGUAGACGUCCUCCCAUUAUCUUUUUACUGCGGUAUACACCCUGGAAAGGUCUAUCACAGGGCUGACAUGUAGAGACAUGCAACCGUUCAUGUUGGAGUUACCUAGAGAAAACCCACGCAUGCACAACCUGCAGCUGUCAAUGCAAACUCCACACAGAAAGCAAAAACUUCCUUUUUCAUACCGUAUUCUGGCAACAUGCCCUAAACAGGCCAACAACUGUUGCCACGCACAAGUAGGUCAGGGUUUCCCAAAGCCCUCUGCUGCAUUUUCAAACUACGAUACGUAGAGGAGGCUUCAUGCUAAUUUUGUCAGCAUAGAUCAGGAUCUCGAAGGAGCUGGUGGGUGCGUGCCCAUCAGCGGUUGUACGCCUGCCCGGCUUCUUGGGUGUGACUGCGUGAGAGUUGUGUCAGAUGUCAGCCUCGCAGCCUGAAAGCCAAACAGCGCGGUGACAGAAAUCAGACUUUGAGUUUGAUUUGUCUUCAAAGGGAGCAAUUUAUUUUCACUCUGCAUGAGUGGACACAUCGACAACUGUGUGCUCGUCUCUGCGUGGGAGUGGGUGUGUCUGACUAAGUAAUUGCCUGUCUUUCUCUGCAACUGUCUUUUGUUUACAGAAAACAGCGUUUGUUUUUGUUCGCAUGUAUAUCUGACUCGUGGAAAAGCAGAUUGCAGAAGCAUUAACCUGAUCACCUCCUGAGCUCUGAUCUUCCUACCUGCUUCCUACAUCUACAGCAGAAGGUUGCUGUGCUCAUUGACUCUCAGAACUGCUGUUUUUGUUGGUAGACGCCUUAAGAAUAAAGAGCAGAACAAGCACAGAACCUGCUGGAGGGUUUUUUGCAAAGAUUGAGGUCACAAACCGGUCUAUCUCUGCAACCUGCAGCCAUGAAGAACAUACGCAACACGAGGCCAAUCCCUGUUUCUCUCUCAUAUUUGCAGAGAAUUCAUGCACAUGCAAAAACACACCCACCAAAUCCAUGUUUUUAAGCGCCCACUGUCACACAUAUUUGGCGACACAGCUUAUUUUACUUGGUCUGUGGUUUUACAGAAUGUGAUAACAGCUGUUUAAAUACUCACUUUGCAUACUAAAAACAUCCAAAAUGAUCAGUAUUGUUAAUACAGCAUAAAUAUUCAUUUGAUUUAACCACAAGGAUUCACUGCCAGCAUUACAGCCAGUUCAAACCAGUUAUUGAAAACAAAAAACAGCCAGUUUGUGAUAGCCUCACUGGGACCAUUAAUCAAAGUGAGAACAUUCAUUAAACCCUCAUCCUCCUUCCUCUCUCUGUCUCUGCUGCGUUGGAUAGAGAGCCGAGGAUCUUUCUAAUACAUCCUCAUUAAAGACACUCAUGUUUUUCAACACUACAAAUGCAACACCAACUUUUUUUUUUUUUGCAAGAGUUUUAGUUUCUAAUUUAUUCAAUUUCUAAAAGCAAACUGGAACCAGAGUCUGCAGAGUGAGCAGAAAUAAAUCAGUGUAAGUCACUGAGGUGUCCGCAUCUAGGUUAGCUUGAGCAGAACCCUGACGCUUUAGCAGGCGAUUCAAAAGCUGAACUAACCUUGAUUAAAACACGCAUGGAGUUUGAUUUACAUUUUCCCAUCCCCUCAUCUGAACUCCAAGUAACUUUAUUAGGAGCUGAAAUGGGAUUCACAAGAGCUGUGGAUGUUGUAAAUUUUUAAUGAGUGCAAAAUUUAUUCAAAUCACUGCAGACUCGCUAUGUGCAGGUAAUUCUCUGAAAUAAUUAUCCGCUGCACCUUUAGGCACAUGAAGCUAUUUUAAGUAGGAUCACAGUCGGUAUGUUUACAUGCAGGGUCAUGUCGAGUUACAGUUACAGCCCCUGCACCUGGUAAGACCCGAGUCAUUGACAAAAGUAGGUCUGCCUCUGCUGCAGUAAUAGUUGGACACUUGAGACGGUUUUGGUCUCUUUUGUUAUCACAUAUCAAAGGAGAUGAGCCCCUCCUGAAGCCCCAUACAUUAUAUCCUCUCCACAGUUAAAACAGGGACAAAGAAUCGCUCAUUGAGAUUAAUCAUUCCUCAUCCAUCUCCUCCAUGUAGAACACCGCCUUCAUUAAUCACCAGGAUUUUCAAGAUACAGCACAGAGGCAGGACCAGGACCAGCCUGAAAGCCUCUGCUCUUGAACUGCAGAGCUCCCUGCCACGCUAGAGGAGGCUCCACAUCCGUCCCUCUCUCCUCCUCCUCCUGACUUCCUCACUGCAAUUGUCUGUCAGAUUCUUCCUCUCCACUACCUUGCUGUGCAUCCGCUCUAGAUCCCCUGCUG